CAUGCCUAGAUUGAGUGCAUUUCUUAGCUUUUCACCUUCUCCUUGAAUCAUUUACAAAGUCUUUUUUUCUCCUAUUUUUCCAUGCUAUUCUUUUUCGUCUCGGGGGCAAAUGAGUUGUUUUCCAGCUGGCCCUUUGUUGUAGUAAUAUAGUGUAACAGACUUUUUGAUUGACAUCUUUUUUGUUUUACAUGCUCAUUGCUCAACCAGUGAAUUUAAUUGGGCAUUUUAGACUUCCUUUUUGGGAAGUCCUUUAUCCUGCCACUGUGAAAUAAGGACAGGGAGAAUCACAUUUCUUGGGAACCUACUGCUUUUCCAGAGGAUUGGUGUGAUUCCUUACAGUGCCUUUGCCAUUUGCUCACUUUUGUCCUAAGGUGCACCAGUGUCUUCUACCUGAGUGGACGAAUUGAUCAGUGCUCAGCUGAGAUCCUCAUCUUGUACAGUGUGAAAGAGUCCCUAGCAAGCAACACUGGAUCCUGUUUAUUUCCUGUUUUCAUUUAACAGGGGCUGAUUUCCAAGUCAUUUUUUGCAGUCAGUAAAUGCUUUUUUAUACCUGCCAGGAGCACAGCUUCUUUGCAAAAGAAAAGUUUGUGAAAUGCAAUUAGAACGUAUUUCUUGCCCCUUGUCUCAGAAUGAAAAGCUGGUUUGGUGAGUUAAAAGUCUAACUUAUAUCUUGCUUAUGUUUUGUUUGGCUAAAGCCUUCUUCCAGCACAAACAGGUGACCUUCAUCUUCCAUGUCUCCUUUCACGGAGCCCCAGAGACAUGUGUGACCACUUUUGCUCUGCAAAAACGUAUUGCCAAAAUCUUUAAGUGUUGUCACAGGAACUGCAUGAGCCAGGAUUUCUUUUUAUGAGAAGCAGGCACAGUGAGAAAGUGCAUGCUGCCCUCAUGUGAUGUCAGGAGUUGGUUUCAUCCUCACAUUGCCCACUUAAAGCAAGGUCUGCAGGAGCUGAGGAGAGGCAUGACAGUGGGUGGCACUCAGCGCACGGACAGGUCAGCACUGUGCUCCGAUUCCCCCUCCACUCCCCUGGCUUCCCUGCACCCCGCAGCUUUGAAGAUGCCAUCACUGCUAUAAACCUGAACUCUGCUGCAAUUAACUGUUGUUGCUGUCGAAGAUGUUGAUGACCAUCAACAGAAAUCUGCUUGUUCCUGGGAAGAAUCCAAGAAUCCGUGUUGUCCAAGAAGAUGCCCUGGCUGGAGGGGAUCCCGGGUCACUCAGCGAAGAGAACCCCAGGGAGGCAGAUGGGUGGAAUGACCUCUUCUUAUCUAAAGCCUUUCUGACGUUCUUAUGAAAGCUUUAACUUGGAGUUGCAAACUGACAAGCUGGCGAAAUCACCGGCUUUGAGUUUUCCAGUUGUUCAAGAUAAAAUCAGGAAUUCAGGGCCGUCACUGACUUGUUUCGAACUAUAAUCUGCUGCAGCAUCAUUCCGGUCCCCACAUUAAAGUGAUUUUAUUGGGCCCUGAGAACCAAACACGGCUUUUAUCUGGCGAUCAAGAACUGGGAAAACGUUAACCCGUAUUCAGCGACUGAUCCGUAAUUGCGAGGAAUAGCUUGAGGCGAUUUAGCUAACACACCAGUUUUCCAUAUAAGCAGCACAAAGACUGAGGAUCUGAUGCAUGAGGUAUGACACAAUCAUGAUACAUUUUGGAUUUUCUUUUACAUAUUCACUUAAAAUGUAUUGUUUUCAUUAUAUUCCUUUAUUUGUUUAAUUCAUCGCCGAUUUUCAGGGUCCAGCUAUUUAGUCUGGUGACAUCUCUACUAGAAAGGAAAUCAUACAUCGUGCUGUUCAAUUAAAGGGUAAUUAUGCCCCUUAAAGGCAUACCCUUACCCUCAAAUGGGUAGGACAGAAACUGUUAUUGUAUUUCUGUCAUUUGUCACUUUAAUGCUGCCAGCUGUACCAUUCUAAGGCUCACAAUAAUAUUUCUCCAGUGCUCAUCUGGCUUGUUUUGUGUGUAAUAAUAGGAAACCCAAAUACAUCUUUGCCCAUAAACAUGGUCCCCUCUCCCAAAGAAGUUCUCCGACUGUUUGCUUUGCUCUUCCCAUCUCCUGUAGCUGCGGCUUCCUGUCUCUCAGCUCAAGCUCCUCGAGGUUGGCUUUUUUACGAGUUUGACAGCCAUGGACGGAGAGCCGCUUUGUGAAACUGGAUUGCUUGCUGUAAUUAGUGGCUCAGCCCCCCGUAAUGUAUUGUUUGCUUAUGCCGUUCGUUAAUCGAAUACAGCGCGACAUACUGUUCUAGAAUGUCAUGAGAACAGUAGAUUCAAGUCUCGGACAGCCUCGGGUUUAAGAGUGGAAUGUUUUUUUAUUAUUUGUAUUUAAUAAUAAACAUUCCUCUCGUUCCAGAUUCGUGUGUCAGCGCUCACGCUGUUAAGGACAACCAACUGUUGGCUUCGUACAAAAAAAAAAAGAGAAUACGUUCGUGUACUGGUUACUUUUAUCCGAAGCGGAGUUCAAAAAGAAAGAAAAAGUUGUUUGGAUUUUUUUUUUUACAGUGUUCAUUUACAAGACCCCUCCUCCCCCCCACUAACCGCAAAGCGUCGGGCUUCACUACUCAGAAGGAGUGAUUUGCAUGUGAAAAAUCUCAUAUCGGUUAAUAAGGGAAGUCGUUUCAGACCCGUUCUCACAAUCUGAUUGGCAGUUAUCAGCUCCACAUUCUCACGGCAUCGCUGGUAAUGGAUCCUCCAGUGAAUUCAGUUUCCACGGAAACUAACCUUAACCCUACCUUGACCUGCAGUUUGCUCUCAUCUCUUGAAUUCCAAGCCCAUCGACCGAGGUGACUAAGCCCAAAGACUUGACUGGCGGACAUUCACGUGGUUACUGGAACGGGUCUGAUUAAAGAGAUAAAUGCGAUAGCUUUCCGCCAGUCGUCAACACCUGCUCGCACCUUGUGAGAUGCCCUAAGCGGUCCUUCACCACUCAUUCCUUCAGCUUACGUUGUCGUUGCAAACUGAUCUGCACGUAUCUUUGGAAAAUUCGAUUUUAAUUCAGUCUGAUACGCAUAUGAAAUUGUGACUUCCAACAAAAAACGUUGGAAAAAAAGUAAAUAUCUUUUGCAUACUUAUUAGGUGUGAAUUUGAAUUAACGGCAAACAGAAUCAGCUAGAAAUGCGGUUUUCGAUAUCAAUAUUAUUCGUCUAAGUGUAUGUACAGUGCCCUCCAGAUUAUUGUCACCCUUGGUAAAGAUG